UUAACGUCAUGGAUUAAAUCAGACACGUUUUUAACGUCAUGGAUUAAAUCAGACACGUUUUUAACGUCAUGGAUUAAAUCAGACACGUUUUUAACGUCAUGGAUUAAAUCAAACAAAUGUUGUCGGGAUGUCUUCUGUAUGUACACCUGGCUCUGGGUUUGUUGUUGUUUUUAUAAGGACGUUUACAGGUGGGAAAAAUAAACAACCACAGUGGCUUCGGCAGUGAGACUGAGGGUGUUGGAGUAGAGGUGUAGUCCAGCAUCUGAUGCUGGAUGUCGUGUUGUCCAGCUCACAUGAUGGUCAGCGGUGUUAGGGAUGAUGGACAUGACGCUUGUGUGUUGGACGUGUGCGCUGUUGGCGCUGACGGCUAGUUCAGCGGCAGCCCAAUCAUGUGGCGGCAUUUACACACUUAGUCUGGACAAACAGGAAGUUACAAUAUCUAG